AUUGAACGCUGGCGGCAGGCCUAACACAUGCAAGUCGAGCGGAUGAAGGGAGCUUGCUCCUGGAUUCAGCGGCGGACGGGUGAGUAAUGCCUAGGAAUCUGCCUGGUAGUGGGGGAUAACGUCCGGAAACGGGCGCUAAUACCGCAUACGUCCUGAGGGAGAAAGUGGGGGAUCUUCGGACCUCACGCUAUCAGAUGAGCCUAGGUCGGAUUAGCUAGUUGGUGGGGUAAAGGCCUACCAAGGCGACGAUCCGUAACUGGUCUGAGAGGAUGAUCAGUCACACCGGAACUGAGACACGGUCCAGGCUCCUACGGGAGGCAGCAGUGGGGAAUAUUGGACAAUGGGCGAAAGCCUGAUCCAGCCAUGCCGCGUGUGUGAAGAAGGUCUUCGGAUUGUAAAGCACUUUAAGUUGGGAGGAAGGGCAGUAAGUUAAUACCUUGCUGUUUUGACGUUACCAACAGAAUAAGCACCGGCUAACUUCGUG
rnacentral:rRNA from 1 species